GGGGGCAUAGCUCAGUAGGUAGAGCACCGCCCUUUUAAGGCGGGCGUCGAUGGUUCGAAUCCAUCUGCCCUCA
rnacentral:tRNA from 1 species